UGGAUCUUGGAUUGACUGAGCGGCGGACGGGUGAGUAACGCGUGGAUAACCUGCCUCACACAGGGGGAUAACAGUUAGAAAUGACUGCUAAUACCGCAUAAGCGCACGGCAUCGCAUGAUGCAGUGUGAAAAACUCCGGUGGUGUGAGAUGGAUCCGCGUCUGAUUAGCCAGUUGGCGGGGUAACGGCCCACCAAAGCGACGAUCAGUAGCCGGCCUGAGAGGGUGAACGGCCACAUUGGGACUGAGACACGGCCCAAACUCC
rnacentral:rRNA from 1 species